rnacentral:rRNA from 1 species
AUGGUUAAGUGACUAAGCGUACACGGUGGAUGCCUUGGCAGUCAGAGGCGAUGAAAGACGUAUUAACUUGCGAUAAGCCCAGAUUAGGUAGUAAAAACCAUUUGAGUCUGGGAUUUCUGAAUGGGGAAACCCACGUGCAUAAGCACGUAUCGCUACGUGAAUACAUAGCGUAGCGAGGCGAACCGGGAGAACUGAAACAUCUAAG